GUCUUCAUUUCUUUAUAGCAGCUUCUCUGCCUUUCCUCUUCAGAAAUUUCCAAGCGCCUCCACCCGUGCAUACCCGAGCCCAAUUCCACCGUUUUUUGGUUUCUGCUAAUAACCCUAGGUGUUUCUUCACUUCUUCUCCUCUGUCUAUGUUCCUCCUCGUGCCUCCCUCUCCCUCACUCUCAGUUAGUCAUCAUCAUUCACACCACUCUCUCUUGCAGCCUUGCAAACCCUCACAGGUUGCAGCCUUGCAUCCUCGCAGCCUCGCAACCUCGUCGUCAAGCACUUGUCCACCUCGUUGUCUCGACAGCCAUCACAAAGGUUUCCUACAAGUGGCUGAAUUGAAAUUACUUGGUGUCUUUGAAUGCUGCAAAGAGGUUACUCCAGGAGUUUGUUGAAAAUCAUGAAAAUUGGUUCAAAGUGGUGUAUGUUUUGGCUGGCUGGUUGAAGAGCGAUCCUUUAAGCUACCAUAUAAGGCUUGUUUCUGGGCCUAAAUUUGCAGGACAAUGUUGCAAUUAUUGUUAUAUUAGAAAUGGUGGAAAAUGAAGGCUCCUCUGAUGGCAAUCAACCUACAAUUUGUGUGGUACUAUGUCUAUUUCAAAUUCUACAGCCUUACAUCCUAAAUUCUCGAGUGCUGACUGCUGACACAGUUGUCCCUUUCGGCCACAGUCAAAUACCCAUUUACAUGCAAAUGUAAAAAUCCAGACAUAAAAUUGUUGCAGGUUGAACCCUCAUCCAUGCACUUGAGAAAAUUCCAAGUUGAAGAUUCCCUUACUGAUUUGAACUCUAUGCCUCAGAGUGAUCCUUAUACAUUCAUAAGCAAUGGCAGAGUUGAGAUUCUUCCCAGCAAGGAAACUGAUAAAUCGGGCAUGUUGCAGACAGUCAAGCUUUCUCAUUCAUUGAAUCUGAUAAGGCUAAUGUAUCCCUACUGAUUGAUUCUCUGCACCUUUUUUUUUUUUUUGUUUUUUUAAUUCUUAACUCCUCCUAAACAUUUUGCAUUGCUACUUAGUUGCUUACUUCUUGCAAGGAUUUGAAAUCUGGAGAGCUUUUGAUUUUUGUGAUCAUUUUCAAGUGCUGAAAAUUUUCUUUGUUUCCUUUGCAGGUAAGUGCAUAUGCAACUUUUUUUCAGUCCCAUGGGGUCGAGGAUCAUGAACGUGAGAAGAUGAAUCUUGAAACCAAGGAGCCUUUGUUCACCAACUUUACACCAUUUUUCUUUGGAAACUAUUUGUUGUAGUUUUUUCUUUUUUGUUCGGGUAUCUUGUAUGUACAUUUUCAUAUAUUUUAUAAUUAAAUACAUUUUCUUGGUUUA